rnacentral:lncRNA from 1 species
AUUCUUCAAAAGUUUCACUGACAUGAACCUCACUUGUGGGUGCCAGGUUAUGACCACAUGCAUAGUUUCAUCUUCAUCUUAUGCAACAUUUGGGGUAAAAGGAAGGUUAUGUGGUAACCAGUUUAUGACUUGAACUAUAGGCAAAGAUUGACCAGACCAAGCCCUGAGACACAGUGUUGAGAGCCAAGACAUAAAGUUGUGAAGAUUCAGACCCAGAGCCCAGCAGGGUACAGGCUGGAGGGGUGAUGUGAGUGAUCAGUAACACCAUGAAGACUCUGCUCCUGGGUCAGGAAUGCUUUUUUGUCCCUGUUUUGGAUUUUCCACCAUGAACAGCCAAUGCAGGAAGAAAUCUAAAGGUGAAGGAAAGGCAGCGUUCAGCACUGAGCAAGUCCAUGUUGGAGAAAGUUCACAGGGAAUUGGAAAUCCUUGUCUUCGUGGUUCCUGGCUCAGCAGGACCCCUGUGGGGCCUCUCCCUCUCUUGGGAAAGAGACUGCUCUAGAAGGUUUACUACACCAGUGAGGAGAAGAUGAGCGCAAGGGGGAUUGGCUGGCUGAGGGCGAAAUCAAGACUGGAGCCAAGUGCGCUGAGCUCUCACAUGAGGUCCUUUGCUCCUGUUCCCUGGAGGCAUAAGUGGCUGGGGUAGAGAGA